rnacentral:rRNA from 1 species
GACAGAGGGGGCAAGCGUUGCUCGGAAUUACUGGGCGUAAAGGGCGCGUAGGCGGGAUGGCAAGUCGGUCGUGAAAUCCUUCGGCUCAACCGAAGAACGUCGGCCGAUACUGCCGUUCUUGAGGGAUGCAGAGGAGACUGGAAUUCCCGGUGUAGCGGUGAAAUGUGUAGAGAUCGGGAGGAACACCGGUGGCGAAGGCGGGUCUCUGGGCAUCUCCUGACGCUGAGGCGCGAAAGCGUGGGGAGCAAACGGGAUUAGAAACCCCAGUAGUCC